AGGACGAACGCUGGCGGCGUGCUUAACACAUGCAAGUCGAGCGGAAAGGCCCUUUGGGGUACUCGAGCGGCGAACGGGUGAGUAACACGUGAGUAACCUGCCCUCCACUCUGGGAUAAGCCCGGGAAACUGGGUCUAAUACCGGAUAUGACUGCGGAUUUCAUGGUCUGUGGUGGAAAGUUUUUUCGGUGGGGGAUGGACUCGCGGCCUAUCAGCUUGUUGGUGAGGUAAUGGCUUACCAAGGCGACGACGGGUAGCCGGCCUGAGAGGGCGACCGGCCAACGACUGGGACUGAGACACGGCCCAGACUCCUACGGGAGGCAGCAGUGGGGAAUAUUGCACGAAUGGGGGGAACCCUGAUGCAGCGACGCCGCGUGCGGGAUGAAGGCCUUCGGGUUGUAAACCGCUUUCAGCAGGACGAAAUUGACGGUACCUGCAGAAGAAGCACCGGCUAACUACGUGCCAGCAGCCGC
rnacentral:rRNA from 1 species